rnacentral:rRNA from 1 species
GUGACCGUAAACGAUGCCAACCAGCGAUUCGGCGAUGUUCUUUUUGUGACUCGCUGAGCAGCUUCCGGGAAACCAAAGUGUUUCGGUUCCGGGGGAAGUAUGGUUGCAAAGCUGAAACUUAAAGGAAUUGACGGAAGGGCACCACCAGGAGUGGAGCAUGCGGCUUAAUUUGACUCAACACGGGAAAACUCACCCGUCCCGAACACUGCGAGGAUUGACAGAUCAAGAGCUCUUUCUUGAUUCAGUGGGUAGUGGUGCAUGGCCGUUCUUAGUUGGUGGAGCGAUUUGUCUGGCUAAUUCCGAUAACGAACGAGACUCUGGCCUACUAACUAGCGGCGGUAUUCACGUCUCCCGCGCGACGCCGCGCUGCGCUGCGGCUGAGCACAGUCGUCGCCGUUUGCGCGAGCGCUCCGCGGAGCACCUGCAGUGCCGGCAGCCGCUUCUUAGAGGGACCAGCGACACUUUCGCAAGCCGCACGAGAAAGAGCAAUAACAGGUCUGUGAUGCCCUUAGAUGUACGGGGCUGCACGCGUGCUACACUGACGGCGUCAGCGUGCGUUCAAGCCCGGCCUGGCAAGGCCAGGAAAUCGGUUGAAACGUUCUCGUGACUGGGACAGGGAAUUGCAAUUAUUUCCCUCGAACGAGGAAUUCCCAGUAAGCGCGAGUCAUCAGCUUGCGU